rnacentral:rRNA from 1 species
UACGAAGGGUGCAAGCGUUACUCGGAAUUACUGGGCGUAAAGCGUGCGCAGGCGGUUUUGUAAGACUGUCGUGAAAUCCCCGGGCUUAACCUGGGAAUGGCGAUGGUGACUGCAAGGCUAGAGUUUGGCAGAGGGGGGUAGAAUUCCACGUGUAGCAGUGAAAUGCGUAGAUAUGUGGAGGAACACCGAUGGCGAAGGCAGCCCCCUGGGUCAAAACUGACGCUCAUGCACGAAAGCGUGGGGAGCAAACAGG